rnacentral:lncRNA from 1 species
UGUGUUCCGUUGAAAAAGAAGAAUCAUCACUGGUCGGUGAGGAACCAGGGAAGUGCGGUGGAUGACGCUGAGGCUCCGACGUCGGUGAAUUCUCUAGGAUAGAAGUUUGAGUAUGUGCGUAUUGUACAGGGAGAGACACUAAAUCUCUUGAAUUAGAAGUGCUUGGGUUCGAGGCAGAGUAACUUCUUCCGUAAGAGCUAUUAACGCCACCAGAUUGACUCCCAACGCGACCACUACCGUGACUCGUGCCACAACC